rnacentral:lncRNA from 1 species
GCCCUCGGGGCUGCAUGUUGGAGAGUGGCCAACAAGGGUGGAUCCCAUCACAGGGUCUGCCCCAGCUUGUGUGAGUACACAUAUGCACGUCCCCAAAGCUUUCGUGCAUUCCCGUGUGUGCUGGCACUGGACAGGUUCUCGGCUCACAGCACAAGGUUCAACCUUCUUGCACUCCACCCUCAAGCAGCCUAUGUUUCAUCGGGGUAGACCGAUAAUGAACCGUAGGCAAACAGGAAGAGUCUUUGGGAGCGGCACAAGGACAACUCUUAUUUACCUGCAAUAAUGCAUGCCUGUAUCAAUUCUCAGCCCCCACACUGAGCCACCAACCUGAGAGACUUGAAGAGCCACAAAGAGGUCAUGUGAGGAUUUCUUUCGUCACUGCCUCUUCAUCUUCCAGGCUGGUGAGCACGACCUGAACCCCCUGUUCUCAUGAGUUUGUCCUUCCCCCACCCCCGCCCCCGCCACUGCCCACUGUUGCCCUCCGGGUUAAGGUGUGCUGGGCACACACCCAGAGACCUUUGCACUGCAGUUGGGAAAGUUAUUUGUCGAGAAACUUUUUGCAUCUUCCUUUUCUUCUUGCUGCGGGCUUCUGCCUACAUAACUCUGCAAACUGCAAUGCUGGUUUCCUGUAAAAGCCAAGGGCCUGAAAUAAUGGUUCCAGUGAAGAGACUCCUACGUUCUAGAGUGGCUUUCAGACCACCCAGGAGGAACUUGCCAAGGAGCUGGCCCACCACUGCUGACUUCCUGAGCUCUGGAUGCUCCUCCGCCCCCAGAACAUACAGGAACACUCAGGUGGGGAGGAGUUCUCCAGGGAGGUGGUCCCUAGGCACCGAGCCCCCUCCCACCUCCGCACUCCGGCCCCUCCCACCUCCGCACUCCUGGUCCCUCCUCCAAUCAGAGAGGCGUAGGUGGUGCUUUUCUCUCAUCUGACAUCCGUUGGGCGGGGCUUUAAGGAGCGCUCAGAGAGCCGGGCGUGCGUGUUCUAGACACAGAGGUCUGGUGUGUGACUCGCCCUUACAAAAUCUCAAGGGUUUUGAGAGCCGGCUUGAAGUGGCUUUGGCAGCAGAAGAGGGGACAGUAGAACCGCACUUGGGUUGAUUAUGGGACAAAGGAUGCAGAGGUGUUUUCCGGAGACCACAAUGCCCUCAGCCCUCACCAAGGGAGGGAGAGGCUUUAACUUUGAAUACAGUUAAAAGUUUUGGGGUUUUUGUGUGUGUGCCUUUUAGGGCCCCACCCAGGGCAUAUGGAGGUUCCCAGGCUAGGGGUCAAAUCAGAGCUACAGCUGCUGGCCUACACCACAGCCACAGCAAUGCCAGAUCCUUAACCCACUGAGCGAGGCCAGGGAUUGAACCCAUAUCCUCAUGGUUCCUAGUCUGGUUCCCACUGAGCCACGAUGGGAACUCCUUAAUUAAUUUUGAUUAUUAUAUUGAAGGAUCUUGAUAUUUAUCAAAAUAAGACCAGGAGAUCACUGAGAUCACAAGACUGUUAUCCAGGAGUGAGCAGAUAAGCCGAGAGGACUGGCCAAGAUUUCAUCCAGUGGCAGCGACGAGUCCCCCACGAACAGGUUGGAAGGAGGCUGUAGAAGGUGUGAUGGGGUCGCUUAGUCAUUUCACCUACGACCUUGGGACGGCACAGUUACAGGCCUUUCAUGUCCAAAGAGGCAGGACCUACUGUUAUUUUACAGAUGAGGAAGCCGAGGUGCCAGGAUCUUGAGAGGAUAGAUUGGAGGUUUGGGGGUGGGUGGGGCUUGUGGCAGCUCCAGGAUUUCAAUAUAAGACAGACAGCCGGGUCUCUAGGCAACGGGAAGAGAUGAGACACUUGUACUGGAGCUGCUCCCAUGAUAAGCAGGCCGUUUUCCUCCUGGAUUGAUGUCUAUGCAGAGUGGCUUGGGAGGGAGGGGGCCUGUAGCCACUGGGGGUAGAGAUAAUGA